UACGGAGGGAGCUAGCGUUGUUCGGAAUUACUGGGCGUAAAGCGCACGUAGGCGGCUUUGUAAGUUAGAGGUGAAAGCCCGGGGCUCAACUCCGGAACUGCCUUUAAAACUGCAUCGCUUGAAUCCGGGAGAGGUGAGUGGAAUUCCGAGUGUAGAGGUGAAAUUCGUAGAUACUCGGAAGAACACCAGUGGCGAAGGCGGCUCACUGGACCGGUAUUGACGCUGAGGUGCGAAAGCGUGGGGAGCAAACAGG
rnacentral:rRNA from 1 species